rnacentral:rRNA from 1 species
GGGAUUAGUGGCGACGGGUGAGUACACGUGGGCAAUCUGCCCUUCACUCUGGGACAAGCCCUGGAAACGGGGUCUAAUACCGGAUAACACUCCUGCCCGCAUGGGCGGGGGUUGAAAGCUCCGGCGGUGAAGGAUGAGCCCGCGGCCUAUCAGCUUGUUGGUGGGGUAAUGGCCUACCAAGGCGACGACGGGUAGCCGGCCUGAGAGGGCGACCGGCCACACUGGGACUGAGACACGGCCCAGACUCCUACGGGAGGCAGCAGUGGGGAAUAUUGCACAAUGGGCGAAAGCCUGAUGCAGCGACGCCGCGUGAGGGAUGACGGCCUUCGGGUUGUAAACCUCUUUCAGCAGGGAAGAAGCGAAAGUGACGGUACCUGCAGAAGAAGCGCCGGCUAACUACGUGCCAGCAGCCGCGGUAAUACGUAGGGCGCAAGCGUUGUCCGGAAUUAUUGGGCGUAAAGAGCUCGUAGGCGGCUUGUCACGUCGGAUGUGAAAGCCCGGGGCUUAACCCCGGGUCUGCAUUCGAUACGGGCAGGCUAGAGUGUGGUAGGGGAGAUCGGAAUUCCUGGUGUAGCGGUGAAAUGCGCAGAUAUCAGGAGGAACACCGGUGGCGAAGGCGGAUCUCUGGGCCAUUACUGACGCUGAGGAGCGAAAGCGUGGGGAGCGAACAGGAUUAGAUACCCUGGUAGUCCACGCCGUAAACGUUGGGAACUAGGUGUUGGCGACAUUCCACGUCGUCGGUGCCGCAGCUAACGCAUUAAGUUCCCCGCCUGGGGAGUACGGCCGCAAGGCUAAAACUCAAAGGAAUUUGAC